rnacentral:lncRNA from 1 species
AUGCUCUUUAAUUUUAUAUGGAAAAACCGUACGCAUUAUAUUAGGAAAACUGUUGUGAUGAAUAAGUACGCAUCAGGUGGGCUUAACGUCCUAGACUUUUCUACUUUAAAUAACACUUUCAAAAUUAAUUGGGCUAAACAUUUUCUUAAAAACCCCACCUCUAUCUGGAACCUUAUACCAUAUCAUAUUUUCUCUCGUUUUGGUGGCUUUAAUUUUAUUUUAAAUUGUAAUUACAAUGUUGAGAAACUCCCUAUAAAACUUUCAUCCUUCCAUAAGCAAGUCCUCUUAGCGUGGACCCUCAUUUAUAAACACAACUUCUCACCUCACAAAUAUCUUAUCUGGAACAACAGAGAUAUUUUAUUUAAAAAUAAAUCACUUUUCCUGGAAACUUGGGUCCAGAAUGGGAUCCUAUUGGUGGCUCAGCUGGUUAAUAAAGAGGGACAACUACUUACUUACAACGACUUUAUUGCCCUAUAUAAUUUCCCAGUCAGUGUUCAGGAAUUCUCAAUGGUGCUUGGUGCCAUACCCUCAGGGACUUUAAUGUUAUAUAAAAACACUGACAGCUCAAUAUCUACCUCAGUCACACUCCCUGAUCCAGUUGAGUCACCAAUAGGAAAAAUCUGCUUUUCUCUAGAACUUGGUAACAGCAAUAAGAGAAUACGUAGUUUAUUCCAGGAAGAUAUCGUCUCUCUCCCGUAUAUAAUAUCUCAUUGGAACCGAUAUGUUCCAGAUAUCAAGUGGAAGACAGUCUGGAUGAUCCCCCAGAAAUAUUUGAUUGUAAAUAAGGUGAAAGAAGUCUCAUUUAAACUUCUACAUAAAUGUUAUCCAGCCAGUCAUUACAUGGUAAAAUUUAAAAGGGACAUAAAUACUAAUUGUACUUUCUGUGGGGAUCAUCCAGAAACUGUGACACAUCUUUUUUGGUGCUGUUCUUUUACACAAAGAUUCUGGAAGGAAUUUAGCAGGUUUGUUACUGUCCAUAUUUUAAGGGAGUUUUCUUUACGAUGGGAAAAUGUUUUAUUCUGUUUCUUUAAGUUCCCCAUGAAGAAUGAUAAAUGUUUUUUUAUGAUAAAUCUGUUAAUACUCUUAGCUAAAUUUUUUAUUCACAAAUGUAAGUUUACCGACAAAACACCAUAUUUCUGUCAUUUUUUUAAGGAUGUGGAAUUGUACAUAAAAUCAAUAUCAGAAUCCACCAACCAAAAGGCUCUCAAAACAAUAUAUAUAUGUGAAUUUUUGCGUGUAUUCUUAUAA